UAUGGAGGAUCCGAGCGUUAUCCGGAUUUAUUGGGUUUAAAGGGUGCGCAGGCGGGAGAUUAAGUCGGCGGUGAAAUUUCGCAGCUCAACUGUAAAAGUGCCUUCGAAACUGGUUUCCUUGAGUGUAGAUGAAGUAGGCGGAAUUUGUGGUGUAGCGGUGAAAUGCAUAGAUAUCACGAGGAACUCCGAUUGCGCAGGCAGCUUACUAAACUACUACUGACGCUCAGGCACGAAGGCGUGGGGAUCAAACAGGAUUAGAUACCCU
rnacentral:rRNA from 1 species